rnacentral:rRNA from 1 species
UACAGAGGUGGCAAGCGUUGUUCGGAAUUACUGGGCGUAAAGGGCGCGUAGGCGGUCUUGUAAGUCUUGUGUGAAAUCCCUCGGCUCAACUGAGGAACUGCACGGGAUACUGCGAGACUUGAGUUCGGGAGAGGGAAGCGGAAUUCCGGGUGUAGCGGUGAAAUGCGUAGAUAUCCGGAGGAACACCGGUGGCGAAGGCGGCUUCCUGGACCGAUCACUGACGCUGAGACGCGAAAGCUAGGGGAGCGAACAGG